CACAAUGUUAUACUGGAGAGAAGGAAGAGCUGUGUUGUGUAUAAGUAACAGAGUUUUCUUUUUCUUCUACAUGGCUCUUUGCA
rfam:Gorilla gorilla gorilla genomic chromosome, chr19, whole genome shotgun sequence